rnacentral:rRNA from 1 species
AGGGCACCACCAGGAGUGGAGCCUGCGGCUUAAUUUGACUCAACACGGGAAAUCUCACCAGGCCCGGACACUGGAAGGAUUGACAGAUUGAGAGCUCUUUCUCGAUUCGGUGGGUGGUGGUGCAUGGCCGUUCUUAGUUGGUGGAGUGAUUUGUCUGGUUAAUUCCGAUAACGAACGAGACUCUGUCCUGCUAAAUAGUUCCCGCGUCCUUUGUUGCGCGGGAAAUUCUUCUUAGAGGGACUGGCGGCGUCUAGCCGCACGAGAUUGGGCAAUAACAGGUCUGUGAUGCCCUUAGAUGUUCUGGGCCGCACGCGCGCUACACUGAAGGGAUCAGCGUGUCUUCCCUUCCCGAGAGGGACGGGUAACCCGCUGAACCCCCUUCGUGGUAGGGAUCGGGGCUUGCAAUUAUUCCCCGUGAACCAGGAAUUCCCAGUAAGCGCAAGUCAUAAGCUUGCGUUGAUUACGUCCCUGCCCUUUGUACACACCGCCCGUCGCUACUACCGAUUGAACGUUUUAGUG